CUCUCUCUCCACCAAGCAGUCCUGUCACUCUUUUCUCUCUUUCUGGAGCGAGGAGGAGGAGGAGGAGGAGGAGGAGGAGGAUUUGGCGAAGAAGGAAGAAAGCGAUGCAGACGAUCUCCAAAGCUUCCUGCACCAUGGCUUCCUUCCCUUGUUCUAGGGUGAAGAGCGGGCUAUGCGUGUGGCCAGGCAUGAAACAGCUUUGUUUGAGGAAAGGACUUCCGUAUGGGUUGUUGCGUUUCCUGUCUAUUCCUUUCAAGACCUUGUGGGGUGCCAGUAGAUCUCUCAAAGUUACUCAAUUUUGCACCGUGUAUAACAUGUCCUCCUCUUUACAGAUUGAAUUGGUACCAUGUCUCACGGACAACUACGCAUAUCUUUUACAUGACGUGGAUACUGGGACAGUUGGAGUGGUUGAUCCUUCUGAAUCUCGACCUAUAAUUGAUGCUCUGAGUAGGAAAAACCGAAAUCUCACCUACAUAUUAAAUACCCAUCAUCAUUUUGAUCACACUGGAGGCAACGUGGAGCUAAAAGCAAGGUACGGUGCUAAGGUGAUUGGUUCAGGAAUAGACAGGGACAGAAUACCUGGCAUAGAUAUAGCCCUCAAAGAUGGGGAUAAAUGGAUGUUCGCUGGACAUGAGGUGCUUGUGAUUGAAACUCCAGGACACACUCGAGGCCACAUUAGUUUUUAUUUUCCUGGAUCUGGAGUAAUUUUCACUGGAGAUACAUUGUUUAGCUUAUCGUGUGGCAAGCUCUUUGAAGGGACUCCUGAACAGAUGGUUUCAUCCCUCAAAAAGAUCACGGCUUUGCCUGAUGAUACAAACAUUUAUUGUGGUCAUGAAUAUACAUUGAGUAAUUCAAAGUUUGCACUGUCUAUAGAACCCAACAAUGAAGCGCUUAAAAAUUAUGCGGCCCAAGUUGCUCAUCUUCGCAGCAAAGGCACAGCAACGGUCAGCUCUGGUUUGCCUCCAAUAAACUAAUUCUCUGGACACUGAAAGAUUCUCAGAGUGGGGAGAUGCAGAUCUUGAGACUGGCUUGUUUGGUUUUCUUACCUCGGUCAAACUUCUGAAUUGCAUGAGUUAAUAACAAUAGUUCCAGACCUUUUAUUCAGAUGCAAUUAUAGAUCCCAACGACUUUGAAGACGGAGAAAAUGUGUAAUCCAUUCCUUCGCACUUCGAGCAUGGAGAUUCGACAGUCGCUAAGUAUUCCAGCCGCAGCAGAUGAUGCUGAGGCAUUGCGAGUUAUCAGGCAAGCAAAGGAUAAUUUUUGAGCUUGUCAAUAGCUAUUUCAGAUUUUGUAUAGAGGUGAGCUUGUGAAUGCGUCUAUAAGUGGUCGUUCAUUCGACGAUU